GAACGCUGGCGGCGUGCUUAACACAUGCAAGUCGAACGCACCUUCGGGUGAGUGGCGGACGGGUGAGUAACGCGUGAGAAUCUGCCCUCAGGAGGGGGAUAACGGCUGGAAACGGCCGCUAAUACCCCAUAUGCCGAGAGGUGAAACGAGUUUUCGCCUGAGGAUGAGCUCGCGUCUGAUUAGCUAGUUGGUGGGGUAAGAGCCUACCAAGGCAUCGAUCAGUAGCUGGUCUGAGAGGAUGAUCAGCCACACUGGGACUGAGACACGGCCCAGACUCCUACGGGAGGCAGCAGUGGGGAAUUUUCCGCAAUGGGCGAAAGCCUGACGGAGCAACGCCGCGUGAGGGAUGAAGGCCUCUGGGCUGUAAACCUCUUUUCUCAAGGAAGAAGAUCUGACGGUACUUGAGGAAUAAGCCACGGCUAAUUCCGUGCCAGCAGCCGCGGUAAUACGGGAGUGGCAAGCGUUAUCCGGAAUUAUUGGGCGUAAAGCGUCCGCAGGCGGUCUUGAAAGUCUGUUGUUAAAGCGUGGAGCUUAACUCCAUUUCAGCAAUGGAAACUAGAAGACUAGAGUGUGGUAGGGGCAGAGGGAAUUCCCGGUGUAGCGGUGAAAUGCGUAGAUAUCGGGAAGAACACCAGUGGCGAAGGCGCUCUGCUGGGCCAUAACUGACGCUCAUGGACGAAAGCCAGGGGAGCGAAAGGGAUUAGAUACCCCUGUAGUCCUGGCCGUAAACGAUGAACACUAGGUGUCGGGGGAAUCGACCCCCUCGGUGUCGUAGCCAACGCGUUAAGUGUUCCGCCUGGGGAGUACGCACGCAAGUGUGAAACUCAAAGGAAUUGACGGGGGCCCGCACAAGCGGUGGAGUAUGUGGUUUAAUUCGAUGCAACGCGAAGAACCUUACCAGGGUUUGACAUCCUGCGAAUCCCUUGGAAACGAGGGAGUGCCUUCGGGAGCGCAGAGACAGGUGGUGCAUGGCUGUCGUCAGCUCGUGUCGUGAGAUGUUGGGUUAAGUCCCGCAACGAGCGCAACCCACGUCUUUAGUUGCCAGCAUUGAGUUGGGCACUCUAGAGAGACCGCCGGUGAUAAACCGGAGGAAGGUGUGGAUGACGUCAAGUCAUCAUGCCCCUUACAUCCUGGGCUACACACGUACUACAAUGCUACGGACAAAGGGCAGCAAACUCGCGAGAGCUAGCAAAUCCCAUAAACCGUGGCUCAGUUCAGAUCGUAGGCUGCAACUCGCCUACGUGAAGGAGGAAUCGCUAGUAAUCGCAGGUCAGCAUACUGCGGUGAAUACGUUCCCGGGCCUUGUACACACCGCCCGUCACACCAUGGAAGUUGGCCACGCCCGAAGUCGUUACUCCAACCCUUGUGGAGGAGGACGCCGAAGGUGGGGCUGAUGACUGG
rnacentral:rRNA from 1 species